rnacentral:rRNA from 1 species
UACAGAGGUCCCAAGCGUUGUUCGGAUUCACUGGGCGUAAGGGUGCGUAGGCGGUAGGGUAAGUUUGAGGUGAAAUCUCCGGGCUCAACCCGGAAAUUGCCUUGAAGACUAUCUUGCUAGAGGAUCGGAGGGGAGACUGGAGUUCUCGGUGUAGCAGUGAAAUGCGUAGAUAUCGAGAGGAACACCAGUGGCGAAGGCGAGUCUCUGGACGAUUCCUGACGCUGAGGCACGAAAGCCAGGGGAGCAAACGGG